AGAGUUUGAUCCUGGCUCAGGAUGAACGCUGGCGGCGUGCUUAACACAUGCAAGUCGAACGAACCUUCGGGUUAGUGGCGGACGGGUGAGUAACGCGUGAGAAUCUGCCCUCAGGAGGGGGAUAACGGUUGGAAACGACCGCUAAUACCCCAUAUGCCUAUUGGUGAAACGAAUUUCGCCUGAGGAUGAGCUCGCGUCUGAUUAGCUAGUUGGUGAGGUAAUGGCUCACCAAGGCUUCGAUCAGUAGCUGGUCUGAGAGGAUGAUCAGCCACACUGGGACUGAGACACGGCCCAGACUCCUACGGGAGGCAGCAGUGGGGAAUUUUCCGCAAUGGGCGAAAGCCUGACGGAGCAACGCCGCGUGAGGGAUGAAGGCCUCUGGGCUGUAAACCUCUUUUCUCAAGGAAGAAGAUAUGACGGUACUUGAGGAAUAAGCCACGGCUAAUUCCGUGCCAGCAGCCGCGGUAAUACGGGAGUGGCAAGCGUUAUCCGGAAUUAUUGGGCGUAAAGCGUCCGCAGGCGGCUUUUCAAGUCUGCUGUUAAAACGUGGAGCUUAACUCCAUCAUGGCAGUGGAAACUGAAAGGCUUGAGUAUGGUAGGGGCAGAGGGAAUUCCCGGUGUAGCGGUGAAAUGCGUAGAUAUCGGGAAGAACACCAGUGGCGAAGGCGCUCUGCUGGGCCAUUACUGACGCUCAUGGACGAAAGCCAGGGGAGCGAAAGGGAUUAGAUACCCCUGUAGUCCUGGCCGUAAACGAUGAACACUAGGUGUCGGGGGAAUCGACCCCUUCGGUGUCGUAGCUAACGCGUUAAGUGUUCCGCCUGGGGAGUACGCACGCAAGUGUGAAACUCAAAGGAAUUGACGGGGGCCCGCACAAGCGGUGGAGUAUGUGGUUUAAUUCGAUGCAACGCGAAGAACCUUACCAGGGUUUGACAUCCUGCGAACCUCUUAGAAAUUUGAGGGUGCCUUCGGGAAUGCAGUGACAGGUGGUGCAUGGCUGUCGUCAGCUCGUGUCGUGAGAUGUUGGGUUAAGUCCCGCAACGAGCGCAACCCACGUUUUUAGUUGCCAGCAUUUAGUUGGGCACUCUAGAAAGACCGCCGGUGAUAAACCGGAGGAAGGUGUGGAUGACGUCAAGUCAUCAUGCCCCUUACACCCUGGGCUACACACGUACUACAAUGCUACGGACAAAGGGCAGCAAACUCGCGAGAGCUAGCAAAUCCCAUAAACCGUGGCUCAGUUCAGAUCGUAGGCUGCAACUCGCCUACGUGAAGUAGGAAUCGCUAGUAAUCGCAGGUCAGCAUACUGCGGUGAAUACGUUCCCGGGCCUUGUACACACCGCCCGUCACACCAUGGAAGUUGGCCAUGCCCGAAGUCGUUACUCCAACCCUUGUGGAGGAGGACGCCGAAGGUGGGGCUAAUGACUGGGGUGAAGUCGUAACAAGGUAGCCGUACCGGAAGGUGCGGCUG
rnacentral:rRNA from 1 species